rnacentral:rRNA from 1 species
GUCCUUUAGGCUAUAAUUUAAGGUUUAGCCUGCCCACUGAAAGGUUGAAUGGCCGCGAUAUUUUGAUCGUGCUAAGGUAGCAUAAUCAUUAGUUUUUUAAUUAAAAGCUAGUAUGAAGGGUUGGAUGAAAAAUUUUCUGUCUCUAAUUAAUUUUAUUAGAAUUUUAUUUUUAAGUUAAAAAGCUUAAAUAUAGUUAAAAGACGAGAAGACCCUAUAGAGUUUAAUAUAAUAGUUUUAUUUAUAGUUUUAGAAUUUUUUUAUAGAUUAAUAUUUAUAUUUAAUUGGGGCGAUUUAAAAAUUUGAUAAACUUUAAUUUUAUAUAAAUAUUAAUUAAUAAUUAGAUGAUCCAAAAUUUUUGAUUAUAAGAAAAAAUUACCUUAGGGAUAACAGCGUAAUCUUAUUAAAGAGUUCAAAUCGAAAAUAGGGAUUACGA